GAUGAACGCUGGCGGCGUGCCUAAUACAUGCAAGUCGAGCGAAUGGAUUAAGAGCUUGCUCUUAUGAAGUUAGCGGCGGACGGGUGAGUAACACGUGGGUAACCUGCCCAUAAGACUGGAUAACUCCGGGAAACCGGGGCUAAUACCGGAUAACAUUUUGAACCGCAUGGUUCGAAAUUGAAAGGCGGCUUCGGCUGUCACUUAUGGAUGGACCCGCGUCGCAUUAGCUAGUUGGUGAGGUAACGGCUCACCAAGGCAACGAUGCGUAGCCGACAGGAGACGGUGGUCUGCGACACUGGUACUGAGACAAGGCCCAGACUCCGACAGGAGGCAGCAGUAGGGAAGCUUCCGCAAGUGACGAAAGUCUGACGGAUCAACGCCGAGUGGUGGAUGAAUGUUUUCGGGUCGUAAAACUCUGUUGUUAGGGAAGAACAAAGGCUAGUUGAAUAAGCUGGCUCCUUGAUGGUACCUAACCAGAAAGCCACGGCUAACUACAUGCCAGCCGCCGCAGUAA
rnacentral:rRNA from 1 species